CCUACGGGUGGCAGCAGUGAGGAAUAUUGGUCAAUGGGCGCGAGCCUGAACCAGCCAAGUAGCGUGAAGGAUGACUGCCCUACGGGUUGUAAACUUCUUUUAUAAAGGAAUAAAGUGAGGCACGUGUACCGUUUUGGAUGUACUUUAUGAAUAAGGAUCGGCUAACUCCGUGCCAGCAGCCGCGGUAAGACGGAGGAUCCGGGCGUUAUCCGGAUUUAUUGGGUUUAAAGGGAGCGUAGCUGGGUUGUUAAGGCAGUUGUGAAAGUUUGCGGCUCAACCGUAAACUUGCAAUUGAUACUGGCAGCCUUGAUUCCAGUUGUGGUAGGCGUAAUUCGUGUUGUAGCGGUGAAAUGCUUAGAUCUCACUA
rnacentral:rRNA from 1 species